GCGCCCGUAGCUCAGCCCGGAGAGAGCAUCGGCCUUCUAAGCCGAGGGUCGCAGGUUCGAAUCCUGCCGGGCGCG
rnacentral:tRNA from 1 species